rnacentral:rRNA from 1 species
UAAAGGGUGCGCAGGCGGGAUGGUAAGUCAGUGGUGAAAGCCCGAGGCUUAACUUCGGGAUUGCCAUUGAAACUACCCUUCUUGAGUACAGUCGAAGACGGCGGAAUGAGUCAUGUAGCGGUGAAAUGCAUAGAUAUAACUCAGAACACCGAUUGCGAAGGCAGCUGUCUAGGCUGAGACUGACGCUGAGGCACGAAAGCGUGGGGAGCGAACAGGAUUAGAUACCCUGGUAGUCCACGCUGUAAACUAUGAUCACUCGCUGUUGGCAAUAUAAAGUCAGCGGCUGAGCGAAGGCAUUAAGUGAUCCACCUGGGGAGUACGUCGGCAACGAUGAAACUCAAAGGAAUUGACGGGGGCCCGCACAAGCGGAGGAACAUGUGGUUUAAUUCGAUGAUACGCGAGGAACCUUACCUGGGCUUAAAUGUAGAGUGCAUGGAGGGGAAACCUUCCUUUCCUUCGGGACUCUUUACAAGGUGCUGCAUGGUUGUCGUCAGCUCGUGCCGUGAGGUGUCGGGUUAAGUCCCAUAACGAGCGCAACCCCUAUCGUUAGUUGCCAUCAGGUCAUGCUGGGGACUCUAGCGAGACUGCCGGUGUAAACCGGAGGAAGGUGGGGAUGACGUCAAAUCAGCACGGCCCUUACGCCCAGGGCUACACACGUGUUACAAUGGCCGGAACAAAGAGCAGCUCCUACGCGAGUAGAUGCUAAUCUCUAAAACCGGUCUCAGUUCGGAUCGGAGUCUGCAAUUCGACUCCGUGAAGGUGGAUUCG